rnacentral:misc_RNA from 1 species
GAUGAAGAACGCAGCGAAAUGCGAUAAGUAAUGUGAAUUGCAGAAUUCAGUGAAUCAUCGAAUCUUUGAACGCACCUUGCACUCCUUGGUAUUCCGAGGAGUACGCCUGUUCGAGUGUUAUGAAGCUCUCAAAACGCAAUUGGCUUAAAACCUGAUUGUUGUUUUGGAUUUGAACUUUGCCGUGUUAUAACGGCUGGUUUUAAAAGUAUUAGCUGGUACUAGAACGAAUUGGUUCUACUCAACGUGAUAAUUAUCUGAUCGUUGAGGACAUUCCUUUCACGAGGAAUGUCCAUAGUAAAUUCAAUGGACUGCUUCUAAUCUGGCUUUAAUUCUUUAUUGGAUUAACCACUUUUCAAAUCUGACCUCGAAUCAGGUGGGACUACCCGCUGAACUUAAGCAUAUCAAUAAGCGGAGGA